GACCGGGUGGCGCAAUGGUAGCGCAUUUGACUCCAGAUCAAGAGGUUGUGGGUUCAAGUCCUGCCCCGGUCA
rfam:Edhazardia aedis TSNM 41457 supercont1.22, whole genome shotgun sequence.